UGGGUUUGACAUGUUUAGGACCGCCCCAGAGAUGGGGCUUCCCUUCGGGGCCUUUUCACAGGUGCUGCAUGGCUGUCGUCAGCUCGUGUCGUGAGAUGUUCGGUUAAGUCCGGCAACGAGCGCAACCCAUGUCGUUAGUUGCAAACAGUUCGGCUGUGCACUCUAGCGAGACUGCCCGUGUCAAGCGGGAGGAAGGCGUGGACGACGUCAAGUCCGUAUGGCCCUUAUGCCCAGGGCUGCACACGUGCUACAAUGGCCGGAACAAUGGGACGCAAUGCCGCGAGGCGGAGCAAAUCCUCAACACCGGCCCCAGUUCGGAUUGGAGUCUGCAACUCGACUCCAUGAAGUCGGAAUCGCUAGUAAAGGCGUAUCAGCAAUGACGCCUUGAAUACGUUCCCGGGUCU
rnacentral:rRNA from 1 species